UUCCGGUUGAUCCUGCCGGACCUGACUGCUAUCGGAUUGAUACUAAGCCAUGCGAGUCAUUGUAGCAAUACAAGGCAGACGGCUCAGUAACGCGUAGUCAAUCUACCCUAUGGACGGGAAUAACCUCGGGAAACUGAGAAUAAUGCCCGAUAGAACAUUAUGCCUGGAAUGGUUUAUGUUUCAAAUGAUUUAUCGCCAUAGGAUGGGACUGCGGCCUAUCAGUUUGUUGGUGAGGUAAUGGCCCACCAAGACUAUUACAGGUACGGGCUCUGAGAGGAGUAGCCCGGAGAUGGGUACUGAGACACGGACCCAGGCCCUAUGGGGCGCAGCAGGCGAGAAAACUUUGCAAUGUGCGAAAGCACGACAAGGUUAAUCCGAGUGGUUUCUGCUAAAGAAACCUUUUGUCAGUCCUAGAAACACUAACGAAUAAGGGGUGGGCAAGUUCUGGUGUCAGCCGCCGCGGUAAAACCAGCACCUCAAGUGGUCAGGAUGAUUAUUGGGCCUAAAGCAUCCGUAGCUCGUUUUGUAAGUUUUCGGUUAAAUCCAUGCGCUUAACGUAUGGGCUGCCGGGAAUACUGCAUAACUAGGAAGUGGGAGAGGUAGACGGUACUCGGGAGGAAGGGGUAAAAUCCUUUGAUCUCUUGAUGACCACCUGUGGCGAAGGCGGUCUACCAGAACACGUUCGACGGUGAGGAAUGAAAGCUGGGGGAGCAAACCGGAUUAGAUACCCGGGUAGUCCCAGCUGUAAACUAUGCAAACUCAGUGAUGCAUUGGCUUAUGGCCAAUGCAGUGCUGCAGGGAAGCCGUUAAGUUUGCCGCCUGGGAAGUACGUACGCAAGUAUGAAACUUAAAGGAAUUGGCGGGGGAGCACCACAA
rnacentral:rRNA from 2 species